UAGUUGGUGAGGGUAACGGCCUACCAAGGCGACGAUAGGUAGCUGGUGUGAGAGCACGACCAGCCACACGGGCACUGAGACACGGGCCCGACUCCUACGGGAGGCAGCAGUGAGGAAUAUUGGUCAAUGGACGCAAGUCUGAACCAGCCAUGCCGCGUGAAGGAUGAAGGCGUUCUGCGUUGUAAACUUCUUUUGCGGGGGAAGAAACCUUCUUUUUCUAAGGAAGCCGACGGUACCCCGAGAAUAAGCACCGGCUAACUCCGUGCCAGCAGCCGCGGUAAUACGGAGGGUGCAAGCGUUAUCCGGAUUUACUGGGUUUAAAGGGUGUGUAGGCGGACUUUUAAGUCAGCGGUGAAAUCUCCGGGCUCAACCCGGAAACUGCCAUUGAUACUAUAGGUCUUGAAUGUUGUUGAGGUGGGCGGAACGGGUCAUGUAGCGGUGAAAUGCAUAGAUAUGACCCGGAACACCGAUUGCGAAGGCAGCCCACUAAGCAACGAUUGACGCUGAGGCACGAAAGCGUGGGGAUCAAACAGGAUUAGAUACCCUGGUAGUCCACGCCCUAAACGAUGAUUACUCGACGUUGGCGAUACACCGAUCAGCGUCCAAGCGAAAGCAUUAAGUAAUCCACCUGGGAAGUACGUUCGCAAGAAUGAAACUCAAAGGAAUGGACG
rnacentral:rRNA from 1 species